rnacentral:rRNA from 1 species
CUGCUGCCUCCCGUAGGAGUUUGGGCCGUGUCUCAGUCCCAAUGUGGCCGUUCACCCUCCCAGGCCGGCUACUGAUCGUUGCCUUGGUAGGCCAUUACCCCACCAACUAGCUAAUCAGACGCGGAACCAUCGUAUACCACCAGAGUUUUUCACACCGCUUCAUGCGAAGCUGUGCGCUUAUGCGGUAUUAGCACCUAUUUCUAAGUGUUAUCCCCCAGUAUACGGCAGGUUUUCCACGCGUUACUCACCCGUCCGCCACUAA